GCCGGGCGCGGUGGUGUGUGCCUGUAGUCCCACCUACUCGGGAGGCUGAGGGUGGAGGAUCACUUGAGUCCAGGAGUUCUGGGCUGUAGUGCACUAUGCGGAUUGGGUGUCCCCACUAAGUUUGGCAUCAGUAUGGUGACCUCCUGGGAGCGGGAGACUACCAGGUUCCUAAGGAGUGGUGAACCGGCCCAGGUUGGAAACGGAGCAGGUCGAAACUCCCGUGCUGAUCAGUAGUGGGAUUGCGCCUGUGAAUAGCCAUUGCACUCCAGCCUGGGCAACAUAGUGAAACCCCAUCUCU
rnacentral:SRP_RNA from 1 species